rnacentral:rRNA from 1 species
UGGGGAAUCUUGCGCAAUGCGCGAAAGCGUGACGCAGCAACGCCGCGUGGGUGAAGACGGCCUUCGGGUUGUAAAGCCCUUUCAGUUGGGACGAAGCUUUGCCGGUGAAUAGCCGGUUGGAGUGACGGUACCUUCAGAAGAAGCCCCGGCUAACUACGUGCCAGCAGCCGCGGUAAUACGUAGGGGGCUAGCGUUGUCCGGAAUCAUUGGGCGUAAAGCGCGUGUAGGCGGCUUGACAAGUCUGCUGUGAAAGUCCAGGGCUCAACCCUGGAAUGCCGGUGGAAACUGUCAAGCUAGAGUCCGGAAGGGGAGUGUGGAAUUCCUGGUGUAGCGGUGAAAUGCGUAGAUCUCGGGAAGAACACCAAAGGCGAAAGCACUCUGCUGGGCCGAGACUGACACUGAGGGACGAAAGCUAGGGGAGCGAA